ACUUAAAUUGAAGAGUUUGAUCAUGGCUCAGAUUGAACGCUGGCGGCAGGCCUAACACAUGCAAGUCGAGCGGUAGCACAGAGAGCUUGCUCUCGGGUGACGAGCGGCGGACGGGUGAGUAAUGUCUGGGAAACUGCCUGAUGGAGGGGGAUAACUACUGGAAACGGUAGCUAAUACCGCAUAAUGUCGCAAGACCAAAGUGGGGGACCUUCGGGCCUCAUGCCAUCAGAUGUGCCCAGAUGGGAUUAGCUAGUAGGUGGGGUAACGGCUCACCUAGGCGACGAUCCCUAGCUGGUCUGAGAGGAUGACCAGCCACACUGGAACUGAGACACGGUCCAGACUCCUACGGGAGGCAGCAGUGGGGAAUAUUGCACAAUGGGCGCAAGCCUGAUGCAGCCAUGCCGCGUGUAUGAAGAAGGCCUUCGGGUUGUAAAGUACUUUCAGCGGGGAGGAAGGCGAUAAGGUUAAUAACCUUGUCGAUUGACGUUACCCGCAGAAGAAGCACCGGCUAACUCCGUGCCAGCAGCCGCGGUAAUACGGAGGGUGCAAGCGUUAAUCGGAAUUACUGGGCGUAAAGCGCACGCAGGCGGUCUGUCAAGUCGGAUGUGAAAUCCCCGGGCUCAACCUGGGAACUGCAUUCGAAACUGGCAGGCUAGAGUCUUGUAGAGGGGGGUAGAAUUCCAGGUGUAGCGGUGAAAUGCGUAGAGAUCUGGAGGAAUACCGGUGGCGAAGGCGGCCCCCUGGACAAAGACUGACGCUCAGGUGCGAAAGCGUGGGGAGCAAACAGGAUUAGAUACCCUGGUAGUCCACGCCGUAAACGAUGUCGAUUUGGAGGUUGUGCCCUUGAGGCGUGGCUUCCGGAGCUAACGCGUUAAAUCGACCGCCUGGGGAGUACGGCCGCAAGGUUAAAACUCAAAUGAAUUGACGGGGGCCCGCACAAGCGGUGGAGCAUGUGGUUUAAUUCGAUGCAACGCGAAGAACCUUACCUGGUCUUGACAUCCACAGAACUUAGCAGAGAUGCUUUGGUGCCUUCGGGAACUGUGAGACAGGUGCUGCAUGGCUGUCGUCAGCUCGUGUUGUGAAAUGUUGGGUUAAGUCCCGCAACGAGCGCAACCCUUAUCCUUUGUUGCCAGCGGUUCGGCCGGGAACUCAAAGGAGACUGCCAGUGAUAAACUGGAGGAAGGUGGGGAUGACGUCAAGUCAUCAUGGCCCUUACGACCAGGGCUACACACGUGCUACAAUGGCAUAUACAAAGAGAAGCGACCUCGCGAGAGCAAGCGGACCUCAUAAAGUAUGUCGUAGUCCGGAUUGGAGUCUGCAACUCGACUCCAUGAAGUCGGAAUCGCUAGUAAUCGUAGAUCAGAAUGCUACGGUGAAUACGUUCCCGGGCCUUGUACACACCGCCCGUCACACCAUGGGAGUGGGUUGCAAAAGAAGUAGGUAGCUUAACCUUCGGGAGGGCGCUUACCACUUUGUGAUUCAUGACUGGGGUGAAGUCGUAACAAGGUAACCGUAGGGGAACCUGCGGUUGGAUCACCUCCUUACCUUAAAGAA
rnacentral:rRNA from 3 species